AAAAAAAAAAGAAAUUGAAGAAAUCACUUCAACAGAAGAACAAAGUGAUUUAAAACGAAAAACUAAAAAAAAAGAAAGUGAAGAAAUCGCUUCAACGGAAGAACGAAUUUAAAACGAACAACUACAAUGCUUGAAACAGAUAAGACGACUUUUUCAUAACUGGGCAGAAAACAGCAAAUAAGUCAGAUUUUUAGCGACUUUUCAUAAGUGGGUAAAAAACAGCAGAAAAGUAAGGCUAUUAUACCCUUAACUUUUCGUCCAUUUUUAGCGACUUUUUCCAUUUUUCGUAAAGGGACAAAAAACAGGUUAGAUGCUGUUCUUGUUUGCCUGCGAACAAGUUGUAGAUAUGUCGAUACUUGUACCCAAGCCAUUGUUUGUUUUGUUGUUCUCAUGGGUACAAUGAAAUCCGGCAUAAAUCCUGGGGGUCUAAAUGUUCAGUAUAUUUACACAUUCGAUCUAUUUUCUGUUCAGUAGACUUUGAUAGCUUCAACGAAAGUUUAUAACAAUGA